CCUACGGGUGGCAGCAGUAGGGAAUUUUGCGCAAUGGGCGAAAGCCUGACGCAGCAACGCCGCGUGAUCGAGACGCCCUUCGGGGUGUAAAGAUCUGUCAGUGGGGACGAAAAUUGACGGUACCCACAGAGGAAGCACCGGCUAAAUCCGUGCCCGCAGCCGCGGUAAUACGGGGGGUGCAAGCGUUGUACGGAAUUAUUGGGGGUAAAGAGUUCGUAGGCGGCACGUAAAGUCUGUUGGUAAAGGCAGAGGCUCAACUGCUGUACGGCACUGGAUACUUGCGAGCUAGAAUGCGGGAGAGGUAAAGGGAAUUCCUGGUGUAGCGGUGAAAUGCUUAGAUAUCAGGAGGAACACCGGUGGCGAAGGCGCUUUACUGGGCCGUAAUUGACGCUGAGGAACGAAAGCCAGGGUAGCAAAUAGGAUUAGAUACCCGGGUAGUC
rnacentral:rRNA from 1 species